AACGAACGCUGGCGGCAUGCCUAACACAUGCAAGUCGAACGAGACCUUCGGGUCUAGUGGCGCACGGGUGCGUAACGCGUGGGAACCUGCCCUUAGGUUCGGAAUAACUCCCCGAAAGGGGUGCUAAUACCGGAUAAUGUCUUCGGACCAAAGAUUUAUCGCCCUUGGAUGGGCCCGAGUUGGAUUAGCUAGUUGGUAGGGUAAAAGCCUACCAAGGCGACGAUCCAUAGCUGGUCUGAGAGGAUGAUCAGCCACACUGGGACUGAGACACGGCCCAGACUCCUACGGGAGGCAGCAGUGGGGAAUAUUGGACAAUGGGCGAAAGGCUGAUCCAGCAAUGCCGCGUGAGUGAUGAAGGCCUUAGGGUUGUAAAGCUCUUUUACCCGGGAUGAUAAUGACAGUACCGGGAGAAUAAGCGCCGGCUAACUCCGUG
rnacentral:rRNA from 1 species